rnacentral:rRNA from 1 species
CACGUAGGAGGCGAGCGUUGUCCGGAAUCAUUGGGCGUAAAGAGCGCGCAGGCGGCUUGGCAAGUCGGGUGUGAAAUCCCGGGGCUCAACCCCGUGACUGCAUUCGAUACUGUCAGGCUAGAGGUAGGUAGGGGAGAUCGGAAUCCUGGUGUAGCGGUGAAAUGCGCAGAGUAUCAGGAGGAACACCGGUGGCGAAGGCGGAUCUCUGGGCCUUACCUGACGCUCAGGCGCGAAAGCUAGGGGAGCGAACAGG